AUUGAACGCUGGCGGCAGGCCUAACACAUGCAAGUCGAGCGGUUGAGGGGAGCUUGCUCCCUGAUUCAGCGGCGGACGGGUGAGUAAUGCCUAGGAAUCUGCCUAUUAGUGGGGGACGACGUUUCGAAAGGAACGCUAAUACCGCAUACGUCCUACGGGAGAAAGCAGGGGACCUUCGGGCCUUGCGCUAAUAGAUGAGCCUAGGUCGGAUUAGCUAGUUGGUGAGGUAAUGGCUCACCAAGGCGACGAUCCGUAACUGGUCUGAGAGGAUGAUCAGUCACACUGGAACUGAGACACGGUCCAGACUCCUACGGGAGGCAGCAGUGGGGAAUAUUGGACAAUGGGCGAAAGCCUGAUCCAGCCAUGCCGCGUGUGUGAAGAAGGUCUUCGGAUUGUAAAGCACUUUAAGUUGGGAGGAAGGGUUGUAGAUUAAUACUCUGCAAUUUUGACGUUACCGACAGAAUAAGCACCGGCUAACUCUGUGCCAGCAGCCGCCGUAAAAC
rnacentral:rRNA from 1 species